GGGGUGGUAGCUCAGUUGGUAGAGCGUUCGCUUCGCAUCUAACACGGCAGCAUGCGAAAGGUCCUGGGUUCGAUUCCCUGCCACUCCA